CAUCAGUAAUGUUUUUGAAUCACUUUCUGAUGUCAACUUAAUCAAGGCGCUAAGAGCAACUUUCUUUUCACUUUCUAAUGCAGCAUCAAGCAUGUCAACUAAUGGCUGAAUGGCUUGAAUUGAUGUUUCUGAAUCUCGGAUGUUCUCAGCAUCAAAAAGUUCAUUUAAAGCCCGAGCAGCACUCAGCCUUGCAUUUCUUGACCCCAAAUGAAGAACAGCAAUCAGUUGUAUUGAGCAACUAACUGCUGCUUCAUACUGGAGAAG
rnacentral:misc_RNA from 1 species